rnacentral:lncRNA from 1 species
CAUUCAGGUCACAAUUGUUUGUCGGUAUUUAGCUAACAAGUGCUGCGCAUGACUUUUAAAUGGUUCUGGGGACGUAUUCCGGUGCUGCAUUCGAACGGUUCUGUGACCGUACCGGCUGCCGUAUAUUGAUGAGUUGAGAACAAUUAUCCUCGGCACAACAUGGCGUCAUCCUCGAAACCUAAACGCAAACGCAAACGGCACAGCUCAAAUUCAGAAGAUGAUCCACUGUGGACAAAUAGAUUAGAUGGCGAUUAUUAUUCCGCAUCAAGCGAUAAGAAGAAGAAAUUAACUGCACUGAGUAGUUACAUUCCGCGUGAAACAAGUGAUUGGACGAUGAGCGAACUAGAAAAUCUUCAGAUUAAUUGGAACUGGAUCGACCCAUCCACGAAGAGCAUUGAUGAAUUUUUCGACAUGUUUUCAAAUAUAAAUGCAGGUUUUGCCACCCCUCGAUGCAGAUUUAAUCAAGAUGAUGGAUUAUUUGAAUGCUAACUUGACAUUUGACACAAGUGUCAAAGAACUUGAACAGGAAAAUUAUGUUAAAGUUAGAGAAUAUCUUGUUAAAAACUUUCUUCCCAAAGUUGAUGCUGAUUCAGAUGAACACCAUGAUGAUGAAGAGUUGAUGAAAACUGUGGGUAGUAGUUCCAGGUAAAAUUAAAAUUACCAUCUUUUCAUUCACUACUGCAAUGUCAGUCAGGUACUUCUCAAGUUCUUGUAGCUUUCAUGUCAAUCGGGCCCUUAGUCGAUCCGCCCCAAUAUAAAAAAAUAUUUAUAGGGAAUAAAAAUGAAGAUACGAUGCAGUCUGGUAACUCCGCCCAUCUAAGGCUUUGAUCGUGUAUAUUUCUUCUUUAUUAUAUAAAAAUUGCAUCAAAUUUGAUUUGAAUCUAUUCACUGAAAACUCAAUGUUACGUACAUUUUUUACUAUCUUAUUUCCGCAAUCAUAUAUCUGAAAAGAUUUGAAAAUCAAUCAGACAAAUGGGUCACCUCUGUUUUCACAGAAGUGUGGUUGUCCGGUAAGUCCGUCCAUGCGUAGUAAACAUGUAUGGAUGACAGGUUUAUCAUCAUGAUCAUAUAUUAACGAACUAGAACAUGUAGAACUUAAGGAAAUGAUGUUUUAUCAUGUUUAUAAAUGGACCACUAAGAAAGGAACUUUAGAUGAACAAAAUAAAAAAAUUCAAGCCAAUAUGAUAAAGAAAUUGUUGAAAUAGAAAAAUAAACCAAAAAUAUAAAAAAAACAGAAAAUAAAGAAAAGUAAAAAAUAUGAUUAUAGAUAAAGAUAAGAAUGUCAAUAGCAUGGUUAAAAGUAUUUUCUUUAAAAAAAUGCCCUCAUUCAACAUGUUCGGUAUUCUGAAUUGCAGUUACUUAGACACCAUCAUCCUUGUCAAUGGGUUUAAAGUCUGUGCAGUAUCAUGAGUAUAUAGUGGUUUUAAUAUAUAACCCAAAAUUUUAAUUUCAGAGUCAAUAUAUUUUAUUUUCAGUCUUUAAAAUCGAAAAAAAAACACCAAAAAAACAGAAAGCUUGUGUCAAACUUUUCCAUACAUCAUUGUACAUAUUUAUUAAAGAUAAUGAGUCUUUAAGAUUUUUAGCACACCUGGCCCGAAGGGCCAAGUGAGCUUUUCCCAUCACUUUGCGUCCGGUGUCCGUCGUCCGUCGUCGUCGUCCGUCGUCUUCGUUAACUUUUACAAAAAUCUUCUCCUCUGAAACUACUGGGCCAAAUUAAACUAAACUUGGCCACUAUCAUCAUUGGGGUAUCUAGUUCAAAAAAUGUGUCCGGUGACCCGGCCAACUAACCAAGAUGGCCGCCAUGGCUAAAAAUAGAACAUAGGGGUAAAAUGCAGUUUUUGGCUUAUAACUCAAAAACCAAAGCAUUUAGAGCAAAUCUGACACGUGGUAAAAUUGUUUAUCAGGUCAAGAUCUAUUUGGCCUGAAAUUUUCAGAUGAAUAGGAC